rnacentral:rRNA from 1 species
GGGCGCACGGUGGAUGCCUUGACACUAGGAGUCGAUGAAGGACGGGACUAACGCCGAUAUGCUUCGGGGAGCUGUAAGUAAGCUUUGAUCCGAAGAUUUCCGAAUGGGGAAACCCACCAUACGUAAUGGUAUGGUAUCCUUAUCUGAAUACAUAGGAUAAGGAAGACAGACCCAGGGAACUGAAACAUCUAAGUACCUGGAGGAAGAGAAAGCAAAUGCGAUUUCCUGAGUAGCGGCGAGCGAAACGGAACAUAGCCCAAACCAAGAGGCUUGCCUCUUGGGGUUGUAGGACAUUCUAUACGGAGUUACAAAGGAACGAGGUAGACGAAGCGACCUGGAAAGGUCCGUCGUAGAGGGUAACAACCCCGUAGUCGAAACUUCGUUCUCUCUUGAAUGUAUCCUGAGUACGGCGGAACACGUGAAAUUCCGUCGGAAUCUGGGAGGACCAUCUCCCAAGGCUAAAUACUCCCUAGUGAUCGAUAGUGAACCAGUACCGUGAGGGAAAGGUGAAAAGCACCCCGGAAGGGGAGUGAAAGAGAUCCUGAAACCGUGUGCCUACAAAUAGUCAGAGCCCGUUAACGGGUGAUGGCGUGCCUUUUGUAGAAUGAACCGGCGAGUUACGAUCCCGUGCGAGGUUAAGCUGAAGAGGCGGAGCCGCAGCGAAAGCGAGUCUGAAUAGGGCGUUUAGUACGUGGUCGUAGACCCGAAACCAGGUGAUCUACCCAUGUCCAGGGUGAAGUUCAGGUAACACUGAAUGGAGGCCCGAACCCACGCACGUUGAAAAGUGCGGGGAUGAGGUGUGGGUAGCGGAGAAAUUCCAAUCGAACCUGGAGAUAGCUGGUUCUCCCCGAAAUAGCUUUAGGGCUAGCCUUAAGUGUAAGAGUCUUGGAGGUAGAGCACUGAUUGGACUAGGGGUCCUCAUCGGAUUACCGAAUUCAGUCAAACUCCGAAUGCCAAUGACUUAUCCUUAGGAGUCAGACUGCGAGUGAUAAGAUCCGUAGUCAAAAGGGAAACAGCCCAGACCGCCAGCUAAGGUCCCAAAGUGUGUAUUAAGUGGAAAAGGAUGUGGAGUUGCUUAGACAACUAGGAUGUUGGCUUAGAAGCAGCCACCAUUUAAAGAGUGCGUAAUAGCUCACUAGUCGAGUGACUCUGCGCCGAAAAUGUACCGGGGCUAAAUACACCACCGAAGCUGCGGAUUGAUACCAAUGGUAUCAGUGGUAGGGGAGCGUUCUAAGGACAGUGAAGUCAGACCGGAAGGACUGGUGGAGUGCUUAGAAGUGAGAAUGCCGGUAUGAGUAGCGAAAGACGGGUGAGAAUCCCGUCCACCGAAUGCCUAAGGUUUCCUGAGGAAGGCUCGUCCGCUCAGGGUUAGUCAGGACCUAAGCCGAGGCCGACAGGCGUAGGCGAUGGACAACAGGUUGAUAUUCCUGUACCACCUCUUUAUCGUUUGAGCAAUGGAGGGACGCAGAAGGAUAGAAGAAGCGUGCGAUUGGUUGUGCACGUCCAAGCAGUUAGGCUGAUAAGUAGGCAAAUCCGCUUAUCGUAAAGGCUGAGCUGUGAUGGGGAAGCUCCUUAUGGAGCGAAGUCUUUGAUUCCCCGCUGCCAAGAAAAGCUUCUAGCGAGAUAAAAGGUGCCUGUACCGCAAACCGACACAGGUAGGCGAGGAGAGAAUCCUAAGGUGUGCGAGAGAACUCUGGUUAAGGAACUCGGCAAAAUGACCCCGUAACUUCGGGAGAAGGGGUGCUUUCUUAACGGAAAGCCGCAGUGAAUAGGCCCAAGCGACUGUUUAGCAAAAACACAGCUCUCUGCGAAGCCGUAAGGCGAAGUAUAGGGGGUGACACCUGCCCGGUGCUGGAAGGUUAAGGAGAGGGGUUAGCGUAAGCGAAGCUCUGAACUGAAGCCCCAGUAAACGGCGGCCGUAACUAUAACGGUCCUAAGGUAGCGAAAUUCCUUGUCGGGUAAGUUCCGACCCGCACGAAAGGUGUAACGAUUUGGGCACUGUCUCAACCAGAGACUCGGUGAAAUUAUAGUACCUGUGAAGAUGCAGGUUACCCGCGACAGGACGGAAAGACCCCGUGGAGCUUUACUGUAGCCUGAUAUUGAAUUUUGGUACAGUUUGUACAGGAUAGGCGGGAGCCUUUGAAACCGGAGCGCUAGCUUCGGUGGAGGCGCUGGUGGGAUACCGCCCUGACUGUAUUGAAAUUCUAACCUACGGGUCUUAUCGACCCGGGAGACAGUGUCAGGUGGGCAGUUUGACUGGGGCGGUCGCCUCCUAAAGUGUAACGGAGGCGCCCAAAGGUUCCCUCAGAAUGGUUGGAAAUCAUUCGUAGAGUGCAAAGGCAUAAGGGAGCUUGACUGCGAGACCUACAAGUCGAGCAGGGACGAAAGUCGGGCUUAGUGAUCCGGUGGUUCCGCAUGGAAGGGCCAUCGCUCAACGGAUAAAAGCUACCCCGGGGAUAACAGGCUUAUCUCCCCCAAGAGUCCACAUCGACGGGGAGGUUUGGCACCUCGAUGUCGGCUCAUCGCAUCCUGGGGCUGUAGUCGGUCCCAAGGGUUGGGCUGUUCGCCCAUUAAAGCGGUACGCGAGCUGGGUUCAGAACGUCGUGAGACAGUUCGGUCCCUAUCCGUCGUGGGCGUAGGAAAUUUGAGAGGAGCUGUCCUUAGUACGAGAGGACCGGGAUGGACGCACCGCUGGUGUACCAGUUGUUCUGCCAAGGGCAUAGCUGGGUAGCUAUGUGCGGAAGGGAUAAGUGCUGAAAGCAUCUAAGCAUGAAGCCCCCCUCAAGAUGAGAUUUCCCAUAGCGUAAGCUAGUAAGAUCCCUGAAAGAUGAUCAGGUUGAUAGGUUCGAGGUGGAAGCAUGGUGACAUGUGGAGCUGACGAAUACUAAUAGAUCGAGGACUUAACCAU